rnacentral:misc_RNA from 1 species
GAUGAAGAACGCAGCGAAAUGCGAUAAGUAAUGUGAAUUGCAGAAUUCAGUGAAUCAUCGAAUCUUUGAACGCACAUUGCGCCCCCUGGUAUUCCGGGGGGCAUGCCUGUCCGAGCGUCAUUACAACCCUCAACCUCAGCUUGGUGUUGGGCCCCGCCGCCCCGGCGGGCCCUAAAGUCAGUGGCGGUGCCGUCCGGCUCCGAGCGUAGUAAUUCUUCUCGCUCUGGAGGUCCGGUCGUGUGCUCGCCAGCAACCCCCAAUUUUUUUCAGGUUGACCUCGGAUCAGGUAGGGAUACCCGCUGAACUUAAGCAUAUCAAUAAGCGGAGGA